AAUAUUGGACAAUGGGCGAAACCCUGAUCCAGCCAUGCCGCGUGUCUGAUGAAGGUUUUCGGAUUGUAAAGCACUUUAAGUUGGGAGGAAGGGCAGUAAGUUUUGUCUUUGCUGUUUUGACGUUACUAACAGAAUACCCACCGGCUAACAUGGUGCCAGCAGCCGCGGUAAUACGAAGGCUCCAAUCGUUAAUCGGAAUUACUGGGCGUAAAGCGCGCGUAGGUUGUUCGUUAGGUUGGAAGUGAAAGCCCCGGGCUUAACCUGGGAAUUGCAUUCAAAACUGACGAGCUAGAGUACGGUAGAGGGUAGUGGAAUUUCCUGUGUAGCGGUGAAAUGCGUAGAUAUAGGAAGGAAAAUCAGUGGCGAAGGCGACUACCUGACUGAUACUGACACUGAGGUGCGAAAGCGUGGGGAGCAAAC
rnacentral:rRNA from 1 species